rnacentral:rRNA from 1 species
UACGUAGGGGGGCAAGCGUUUGUCCGGAAUCAUUGGGCGUAAAGCGCGUGUAGGCGGCUCGGUAAGUCUGCUGUGAAAGUCCAGGGCUCAACCCUGGGAUGCCGGUGGAUACUGUCGAGCUCGAGUCCGGAAGAGGCGAGUGGAAUUCCUGGUGUAGCGGUGAAAUGCGCAGAUAUCAGGAGGAACACCAAUGGCGAAGGCAGCUCGCUGGGACGUGACUGACGCUGAGACGCGAAAGCGUGGGGAGCAAACAGG